GGCGUCCUGCCAGCGGGGCGCCCCCGGCCUGAGACUCCCUGGAAGCCUCGUCCGCGAGUCGCGGACUCGGGGCCCGGAGGGCGGCGGGAGGUCCUGCGCUGCGGUGCGGCUAUAGCGCCCGCGCUCCCCGCGGAAGAACCGCCGAGUCGAGCGCUGAAGGUGUGGCCCACCAGCAGGAGUGUCAGAACGUGCCGAGCCGCUCGAGUCGGAGUCGCCAGAACCCCCGGAAGACGAGCCGUUCACCGGCAGGCCAACUGGGGCUUCUUCGUGUAGUGGACUGACAGCCAAGCGUCGGGAACGCAGUGUCGUGGGUGUGCGGCUGACCGGGUGAGGAGGAUCUUUCACAGAGACCGUGCCCCUCCGUGGAGUCCAGGAACAGGGCCUCAAACCUGCGUCCUCAUGGAUACUAGUCAAAUUUGUUUCCCCUGAGCCAGGACAGGAACUCCCUUCAAGGAUAUUUGUUUGUUUGAUUCUUUCUGCUUUUUUGUUUUUUCUAGGGCCACACCCACAGCGUGUGGAGGUUCGCAAGCUAGGGGUCCAGUCGGAGCUGUCGCCGCCAGCCUAUACCACAGCCACAGCCACGCAGGAUCUGAGCUGCAUCUGCACCCUACACCACAGCUCGCAGCAACACUGGAUCCCCAACCCACUGAACCAGGCCAGGGAUCGAAUUGCAACCUCAUGGUUCCUAGUCAGGUUCAUUAACCACUGAGCCAUGACAGGAACUCUGCUUCAAGGAUAUUUGGAAGCAUCUAUAUUUAUGGCCCAUCUCAGAAUGCAAAAGGUUUUUAAAAAUGUAAACCUCUUUGCCUUUUGGAGUGUAAAUAUUUGGGGGCUUAAGAGUCUGAUGCAUCUGUGUGCGACAGAGCUGGUCUCAGCAGGCACCUCACUGGGCUCUCAUGAGGGGAUUUCUUUCACGGAACCGUCUUUGGUAUGUAGCAGGUGUUCGUAGGUGUUAGUCAUUGCCGUUACUGUCUGUAUCACUGCCAUCAUCAAAGCCUGACAAGGCAAGGCUUCCAGGCCUCGCACUGCCAUGAAAGAGUUGGGCGGAGCAAGGCCUGUGCGUUGGGUCUCUGAGCCUCACUUCCUGAGUGGGCAACAUGAAAAUUGAUGCCCGCUUCAAGGGUUGCUGUGACCGUUACACCAGUGUGGAUGGGAAAGCAGUUGUUUCAAGAAGCAUCAAAGGUUAAUAACACCUGGAACGUUUUCCAGAAGAAAGUUAAAUACAGGAUGGCCUGAUGCGUUCCCCACAGGGUGUACUCUUUGCUUCCGUUUCAUUCGUGUUCAACAAGAUGCGCGUUCAGGCCAUGCUCCAUUUCUGCAGCAAAAAAGGCACUUUGCAGCUAUAUUCUUUGCACGUGAUGCUGAGUAGUAUUUCAGAGCCAGGCCUUAGAAACUUCAAGGCCUGGGAGUUCCUUCGUGGCUCUGGUUAACGAACCCGACUAGGAUCCGUGAGGACUCAGGUUUGAUCCCUGGCCUUGCUCAGUGGGUUAAGGAUCUGGCAUUGCUAUGAGCUGUGGUGUAGGUCACAGACAUGGCUUGGAUCCCAUCAUUUUGCUGUGGCUGUGGCAUAGGGUGGCAGCUGCAGCUCCAAUUUGACCCCUAUCUUGGGAACUUCCAUAUGCCUCUGGUAUGGCCCUAAAAAGACCAAAAAAAAAUUAGCAAAGGAGUUCCUGCUGCAGUGCAAUGAGAUUUAAGUGUCUGUAGCACCAGGACACAGGUUCAACUCCCUGCCCCUCAGAGAGGGCUAAAGGAUCCAGCAUUACCGAAGCUUCAGCGUAGGUCAGCUUCAGCUGUGUCUCAGAUCUGAUCCAUGGCCCGGGAGCUUCAUGCGCUGCAAAGUGGCCAAAAAAUUUAAAAAGGAAAAAGUUCUUGUCGUGUCUCAGCAGUAACAAACCUGAUUAGUCAUGAGGAUGUGGGUUCAAUCCCUGGCCCGGCUCAGUGGGUUAACAUUCUGCUGUUGCCAUGGGCUGUGGUGUAGGUUGCAUAUGUGGUUUGGAUUUGAUCUCUAGUCUGGGAACUUCCAUAGCCCUCCAAAAAAAAAAAAAAAAAAAAA
rnacentral:lncRNA from 1 species